rnacentral:ncRNA from 1 species
GUGUAUCAAGUGUGCACUCUGCAUGAACAUUGAAAGAGAAUUGGGUUAAUAUUCCCGAACUGGGACAUGGUGGUGGAUGACAAUGUUAGGAAAUCUGGAGAUGUCAUCAGGGGCCUGGGAAGAGUUAUCUUUUAUUUUUAAUAACUUUCCCACCCUGAAAUCGGUUCAACCAGAGAUAGGGUCCAACAUUUGAAAGAGCAUCACAUGUCUUGUGGUGUUUGGUUCCCCCUCGACGGCCAUUGUAAAUAUGGUGAACCGAGUACCAUCCAUGCCCGAUCGUACUCAUAUCUGUCUCC